rnacentral:lncRNA from 1 species
CAAAAGUUAGCCGAGAUACUCUCGGCUCCUUUCCUAGAAGACCUCAAAACCCUAACAUGGUGCGAACUGUCAAAUUGGGUCAUUUUUGUUUUAUCAAAUCUAGUCCAAUUUUAGUCAAAUUUGAUAUGUAUCUCAGCAAUAUAUACAAAUUGCAGUCUCGAAAAAAGCUAUGUAUGGAGAGUAUCGGAGAUUUAGAAGGAAAAAAUUUUGGCGGUAAGAAUUUUCGGCUUCCCUCCUCCUAAUUCUGAAAUUACAGUUUCUUUUAUUAAUUAGAAUUCUUCAGACAAACGCUUUGGUAAUUUAAUCACAUAUACUUGGAGAUUGAAGAAGACAUGGAAAGGGAGGCAAGUUAUUGGAAGAACAUUGAUAUAGGGUUCAGACUCUUGGUGAGGCUUUCACAGGUUCAUAUCUAUCUUUAAUUUAAUUUAAUACUAUGUAAAUCUAUUUUUUGUAAUGUGAUAGUUAAAAGAAAGUAUUUUUCUGUUCUGAAAUACUUACUAGGUUUCUCCUUUCCAAGUUAUUUAGGCUCUUUAAGGUUGUUUGCAUCUCUACUAUUUGAACUUCUUGUAUAGAAAAAUAUGCUGCUAUUUGAAAAGGAUUGGAUUAAUAUGAUCUCAUUUUAGUUGUCGGAUGAUUAUGGAUUUACUCUUGUGAAUUUAAUUAUCUACUCUACACAAAAAUCAACCUUUCAUCUUUGCUUCUCAAGUUCAACAUGUGUUUUAUAUCCAUCAUCCAAUGGCAGAGGAGUGUCAAAUUGUUAUUAAACUUAAGCCAAAAGUUUUUUUCGAUUUAGAUAAAAAUACACAAGCAACUGGGAAUAUGGAAGGCCGUAUGAAAGUGUGGCAUGAGCAACGACUAGAUGAUACUAUAUUUAAAAGUGAAAAGAUAUUGAAUGGGUUAGGGAAGGAGUAUCCGGAACAGAAAUUGACCCACAAACUCGAGAAAGUAUUGAAGUAUUUGAUGAAGAUUACAUGUCUUAUUGUUUGACUUGGUAGUUAGAUAUUAUUUCAUACCUUUAGACUGUAGAAAUUAUUUUCCAAUUUGGCAGGAAUCAUAUUUUUGGACUUGGGAGUUUAGUUGUUGAUAUAUUGGAUAUGUAGCAAAUUUCGUAGUGUGGCUGUAACAUGUUUGAGCUGUAGUGCAAACUUAUUUCGGACAGUAGUUUUAUACUUCGCUUAGAAUGCAUUUAGUGAAAAACUACCUUUCCUACUCAUCUCCACCAUUACUUUAUUUCUCUUCGGUUUAGUAUUUGGACAAAUGCAAUAAAUCCAGUCUCAUAUCAUCAGAUUCAUUGUAUUUAUUUUUAUUUGUUCUAUUAUUUGGAGAUUUGAGAUUAUCUUAUAAAUUUGUGAAACUCAAUUCUUUCUGGGUUUUUUUUUCCAGAUAUGAGAGUUAUAAGUAAGAUAAUUUUGGUCUGGCUUAUUUCUGUACUAGAUGUGAAAAGCCCAUGCUAUGCAUCGGCCCAACAAGAUAUGAUUGUUCUUUGCAUUUGUAUUGUUACAUCAGUUCUGGUCUAGAGCAUCUAAAUCAUUUACAUGUUGACCUGCUUGAAUUUCAAGACUCUCAAAGUCACAGUUAGAAAUUCUAGUAGAGCACUGAGCCAAGACAUUAUUUCUUCAUUAUUUAACUACUAUGAAAGUGUCGAAGUGAAAUUUAUGAUUUUCAGAAUUAACCGAUUUGUUGAUAUAUUCAUGUACGGAUAACUUCAACAUACAAGUGACAUGAACAACAAUGAAGGAUGUGAAAAAUAAAAAAGGGGUGAAAGAUGGCAUUAAACGGAAAGGUGGAAAGUAAAGCAGAAGACUGUUACCAUUUCUUGCGUUUUGGUCAACAUAAGUGAAGGCAAAGUUCUGUUUAAUUCGUGAAUAUCGUUGAGCAAUUUCUCAUUCUCAAUAUUGUCACUUCUUAUUUCAACGUCUAAAGUUAUGAUUCACAUCAAAUUCCAAUUCAGAAAAUGAAACACCAAUUGUUGUAUCUUUUAUCAAGCAUACACACUUUAAAGUUCUUGCAGAGUUGUUGAUAAACAGAGCAAUGGUAUUUCAAGCUGUU